GACGAACGCUGGCGGCGUGGAUUAGGCAUGCAAGUCGAACGGUAUCAUCCUUUCGGGGGUGAGAGAGUGGCGAACUGGUGAGUAACACGUAGGUUAUCUACCCUCAAGACGGGGACAACCCAGGGAAACUUGGGCUAAUACCGGAUGUGAGCAACUUUUAGUUGUUUGAAAGGUGGCGUAAGCUGUCGCUUGGGGAUGAGCCUGCGUCCUAUUAGUUAGUUGGUGAGGUAACGGCUCACCUAGGCAAUGAUAGGUAGGCGGCCUUAACGGGUGGUCGCCCACACUGGGAUUGAGAUACGGCCCAGACUCCUACGGGAGGCAGCAGUCGAGAAUAGUCUACAAUGGUCGGAAGACUGAUAGUGCGACGCCGCGUGAACGAUGAAUCCCUUCGGGGUUAAAGUUCUUUUAAUGUGAGCAGUGCUUCUUAUAUUAACAGUUAUGGGGAGAGAGAUAUUAGCAUAUGAAUAAGCAACGGCUAAACUCCGUGCCAGCAGCCGCGGUAAACACGG
rnacentral:rRNA from 1 species